AGCUAUUCUCCUGCCUCAGCUUCCCGAGUAGCUGGGACUACAGGUAGCUUAUUCCAGGGACAGGGAAGCAGGAGGAAAAAGCACUAGGAGGAAGACCGCAGACUGGAUUCAGAACAGGCUAUCGUGGAGAGCUGUGUGCUUCGCUGCCGGCCUGAGGCUCUGCGUUCCCCUCCUUGGUGCUCAGGCUGCCCGGCAUACGCAGCAAGUGCUGACCCAGCAGGCAGCCCACGUGCGCUUCAGGUGUGGGAGGCUCUGCGGGCUGCGGGGAACAGGAUCGCUGUGGGAGGUUGAGCCUGGAGCUCUGAACAGCCACUCUGCGCCCAAUCUGCUGUAGCGCUGAGGGUCAGGAAGGCCUCUGGGAGUUCUCUAGAAGAAGGCGCUGGGGAGGAGGAGUUAACAUCUCAUUUCAUUAGAGCAUGCCAGUUCUGUUCUGGGUGUGACUUUUGAAGAAUAUUGAGUUCUACCAGUAGAACUUUGGGGACUGAAACCUGUUGAGGAUUUGUAGUAAGACUGUGUCCCGAAGGCGUUCUUCCUUUUCUUCUGUCUCUGACUUUAACAAGCAGGUUUCCCUAUAAGCUUUGGUGUUUGUUAAACAGAUCAUUUGUAUGUGCAAUAAAAUAUGUUUAAAAAUUAGAAAAA